UCCCGUGUGGCUCAGUUGGUAGAGCAUGGCACUUGCAACGCCAGUGUUGUGGGUUCAAUUCCCACGGGGGAU
rfam:Salmo salar isolate Sally breed double haploid chromosome ssa13, whole genome shotgun sequence.